rnacentral:rRNA from 1 species
AUUGAACGCUGGCGGCAGGCCUAACACAUGCAAGUCGAGCGGAUGACGAGAGCUUGCUCUCUGAUUCAGCGGCGGACGGGUGAGUAAUGCCUAGGAAUCUGCCUGGUAGUGGGGGACAACGUUUCGAAAGGAACGCUAAUACCGCAUACGUCCUACGGGAGAAAGCAGGGGGACCUUCGGGCCUUGCGCUAUUAGAUGAG